GUUGGUUUUAAAAAGGGGAGUUUCCCUGCACAAACUCUCUUCUCUUGUCUGCCACCAUGUGGGACAUUACUUUUACCUUCCACCAGGAUUGUGAGGCCUCCCAGGCCACAUGAAACUGGUCAGAGUGAGCAGUUACAAAUAAGAACUUUGACCAUAAUGUUAUAAAACUGGAAGACAUAAACCUGGGAAUUUCAGGGGCUCUGGCCUGAAGCUAGGCCAUUUGGAAACAAAGUUACAUAGAAGAAAGCAUGGCUAAGAGAUCAAGCCUUAGAGACAGAGUGAAAUUUGGUGAAUACUGGAUCCAGCCUUGCCUGAGCUGAUAUGAAUAGAUAUAUAAGGAAAGUGUGAGAAAGAGAAGUGAAUACUCUCUACUUCAGUCAUGAAGCCUGUCAUGAUCUAGCUUUGGAAGCCACGCCAAGCCACUUCUGCUGCAGUCUGUUCUUUAGAACUGACUCAGGCCCAGCACGGUGGCUCACUCCUGUAAUCCCAGCACUUUGGAGGCAUACAUUCAUGAAAAAAGAAUAUAAGGAAACUCAUGGAAAUAUUAACAGAUUGCUGGACUUGCAGUUCUGUGAUGUUAGCAGAGUUGAAGACAAUGGAAUCCAGGGAAAUGAAGUGACAGGACUAUGACCACCGUCUGUUUCUGCAGUAGGAACCAGUUCCUCAAGUUUCUUCUAGUCCUUUUUAGAUGUAGCUAUGGGAAUCUUACAGGCAUGGAAACAAUCAAUUUAGAUUAUAAAGUUUUAUCAACAAAAAGUAUUCUGCUAAAGGCAAAAAUCCUGUGCUCUAGAUAGUCAGAACACUGUCCUCACAGGGGCAGGAAUGUUCUUCAGCUAAAGUAUGUUCAGAAUGGCUUCUUUUCCUUCUGGCUUUUGAACAAGAAUUUGUAACUUUGGAAGACUAUUCUCUCAGCGGAGAGAAUGACAAGUCUAAGAAAAAGAAAAUGCUUAUUUAAAAAACGGUAUCCAAAAAGAAAGCUAAUGCUUUUCUUUUUUUUUUUUUUUAGCCAAAUGUGUUUUUAAUUAUAGCAUUAACAAAGAUAAAGCAAAAUCAGGGAAAUACAAAAUAAUUACAUGCGACUCUAACAAAAUAAACAUCAUCUGUUCUUAGAUUCUAUGUACUUCCUCUAAACCUGCUGUUUUUCCAAAUAUUGGACCUUUUCCUCUUUACUAGU